GAUCAUGGCUCAGGAUGAACGCUAGCGACAGGCUUAACACAUGCAAGUCGAGGGGCAGCAUGAGGUAGCAAUACCUUGAUGGCGACUGGCGCACGGGUGAGUAACGCGUAUGCAACCUGCCCGAUACCGGGGUAUAGCCCAUGGAAACGUGGAUUAACACCCCAUAGCACUUUUAUCCUGCAUGGGAUGUGAGUUAAACGUUCAAGGUAUCGGAUGGGCAUGCGU
rnacentral:rRNA from 1 species